rnacentral:rRNA from 1 species
CCCUUAGACGUUCUGGGCCGCACGCGCGCUACACUGACCAGUGCAACAAGCAUCCGUCCUUGGCCGACAGGCCCGGGCAAUCUUUGAACGCCGGUCGUGAUGGGGAUAGAUCCUUGCAAUUUUUGAUCUUCAACGAGGAAUUCCUAGUAAAUGCGAGUCAUCAUCUCGCGUUGAUUACGUCCCUGCCCUUUGUACACACCGCCCGUCGCACCUACCGAUUGAAUGGUCCGGUGAAGCCUCGGGAUUGCGAAUGCUUCGUGCGGACGCGAGAACUUGGCUAAACCUUACCAUUUAGAGGAAGGUGAAGUCGUAACA